rnacentral:rRNA from 1 species
AGAAUCAACGCUGGCGGCGUGCCUAACACAUGCAAGUCGAACGAGAAAGUGGAGCAAUCCAUGAGUAAAGUGGCGCACGGGUGAGUAACACGUGACUAACCUACCCUUGAGUGGGGGAUAACCUAGGGAAACCUGGGCUAAUACCGCAUAAUACCUUCGGGUCAAAGGAGCAAUUCGCUUAAGGAGGGGGUCGCGGCCGAUUAGUUAGUUGGCGGGGUAAUGGCCCACCAAGACUGUGAUCGGUAUCCGGCCUGAGAGGGCGCACGGACACACUGGAACUGAAACACGGUCCAGACUCCUACGGGAGGCAGCAGUGGGGAAUUUUGCGCAAUGGGGGAAACCCUGACGCAGCAACGCCGCGUGGAGGAUGAAGUCCCUUGGGGCGUAAACUCCUUUCGAUCGGGAAGAUAAUGACGGUACCGGAAGAAGAAGCCCCGGCUAACUUCGUGCCAGCAGCCGC